GUAACGUUUUAGACAGGAAGUUCUGGAUGAGAGGGGAGUUUCCAGGAAGUUGAGAGGAGACAUUGUUGAAACUGGCAGCAGAGGAGCCCCUUCACCUCACUGCCUGACAACAGAAGUAACCAGCGCCAAGAAGAUUCUAGACGUCACCUACAAGAUCACUGAGCUGCUGACAGGAGAGGUUCCUAUAAGGUUGUCCAGAUAUCGUUUUUUCUUCCAAGGAGGAGUGGGAGUAUUUAGAAGGAUCCCUACAAAGACGUCAUGAUGGAGAAUCGUUCAUCACUCACAUCACCAGGUAAGAGGAGACUUUAUUG